GUUGAACUCAGAUGGGUCAAGGAC
rnacentral:piRNA from 1 species